CUGCACCCAGAAUCACACGCUGACCCAGAUAAAGCUCAAUGCAGUGAACACUCUUGGUCUGGAGGUCCAACAUCAGGGAGUUGCCGGGACUGGUUUCAGAGGCAGAGUUAUGCAGGCCUCACGAUGCAACUGCUUCUGGAAAAUGCAACUGCGUGCAUGGUGAAUCUUCAGCUGUUACUAAACAGCCUUCCCUGGACCUGACUAUCAGCAAUGAGAAUUACUCUUCUUUGCCCCAUUUCUCUCCUUCUGCCUAAGCCAGAACAAUCACUUCUCCUGGAGACAGAUUCAUUAUGAAAGGACUUUAAUUCUGGUCUGACAGACUGCUUGACAUUGGAGUGAAUUCUCAAGGCUUAUCAAAAUCAUCUCGUGGAAUGAUGAGUUGACUUGCACCCACUGAAACGGGGGCAAAUCUCCUUCAAAAGAUCAUGCCAAAGACUGUGUGGGUACCGGAAAGGCUGUGUGGCAGGGAAAAGGUUUGCUCUAACCUAGAAGCCUGCAAGGUCCCCUCUGCACGCCCAAGCAGCGGGCCCGAGUUCAUUAUGG
rnacentral:lncRNA from 10 species